AUGCUUGCGAUGGCUGAUGAUACCAAGUUCAUCCUUUUGUUUCUCCUCUUAAGCAGCUCAUCGCUGUGUUUUGGUUCUGAACAAGAUAUCCAGUGCCUGAAGUCUGUAUAUCAAUCAGUGAUUGAUCCCAACGGUGUACUCAAAUCCUCUUGGAACUUUGAAGAUGGCACCGUCGGUUUCAUAUGCCGCUUUACUGGUGUGGAAUGCUGGCACCCUGACAAGAACAUGGUUCUUUCUCUGCGUCUCGGCAACCUAGGACUUCAAGGCACAUUUCCUCAAGGUCUUCAAGAUUGUGCAAGCAUGACCGGCCUAGACCUGUCAAAUAACAAAUUUUCAGGACCAAUCCCUCAGGACAUUUCACGGCAGGUGCCGUACCUGACAUCUCUGGACCUUUCGUACAAUAGUUUUUCGGGUUCGAUCCCACAGAAUAUCUCAAAUAUGACAUAUCUGAAUGUCCUCAUCCUUCAGCAUAACCAACUCAGCGGUCAAAUUCCACCGCAAUUCGAUUUGCUUACUCGGUUAUCGACGUUCAAUGUUGUGGAUAACUUGUUAUCGGGGUCUAUUCCUCCUUCGCUACUAAGGUUUCCAGCUUGGAACUUUGAUGGUAACCAAGGGCUUUGCGGUGCACCAUCGGAUGAUUGUCCCCGCUCCAGGAGGAGAUGGAGACCGGUACGAAUCAAGCUGCACAGGCUCAACGACGAGUCGAGCAUCGGAGCGGCCGUCGGAUUCGUCGUGGGGUUUGUGGUGGCCUUCUACUUCCCGCACUGUUUCGUCUGCUCCGAGAGGCUCCGUGCCUACGUCGUCCGCAUAUGA
rnacentral:rRNA from 1 species